CGCACGGGUGAGUAACACGUGAAUAAUCUACCUCCGAGUGGGGAAUAACUGAGAGAAAUCUUAGCUAAUACCGCAUAACACUUACGAGUCAAAGCAGCAAUGCGCUUGGAGAGGAGUUCGCGGCCGAUUAGUUAGUUGGCGGGGUAAAAGCCUACCAAGACUGUGAUCGAUAGCCGGCCUGAGAGGGCACACGGCCACACUGGCACUGAAACACGGGCCAG
rnacentral:rRNA from 1 species